UACGGGGGGGGCAAGCGUUGUCCGGAAUCACUGGGCGUAAAGGGCGCGUAGGCGGUGACUUAAGCGUGUGGUGAAAGCUCGGGGCUCAACCCCGAGUCGGCCGUGCGAACUGCUGGGCUUGAGCACUGUAGAGGCAGGCGGAAUUCCGGGUGUAGCGGUGGAAUGCGUAGAGAUCCGGAAGAACACCGGUGGCGAAGGCGGCCUGCUGGGCAGUAGCUGACACUGAGGCGCGACAGCGUGGGGAGCAAACAGGG
rnacentral:rRNA from 1 species